ensembl:lncRNA
GCUAAAAAUAACCUGCUUUACACUCGUGGAGCAAAAUACCUAGCUGCAAAAAGGAGAAUCCACCUCAGGUGAGACCGAGGUCCUCCAAGUGACCACCGGGGCGCCAUCCGCCGCCCGCCCCGCGCGCCCCGCCCGCCCUGCAAACACCGAGAGACAGAGCGUUUGGUUAAGACGACGGACGAUACUGUGAUUUCGGCUCCAGACACCAUCAGCAAUGCCCACAGCUCCGGAGCCCGGAGGGUCUCAGACGCCAGCGACUGCCGAGUCCAGUUCCGCAGGUGGGAGCUCACACACACCCUCGUGGAACAGGGAAACGGCCGCACAGAUUCGGCACGGCGCCUCAUCACCCGAGAACCCUGGGCCCAGGAGUGAGGCGGGCAGCCCGAGAACCAGAGCGCAGGCGGCACCCCGCCCCGCGGGUGCCGGGGAGAGAGGCGCCCCAAGGGCUCAAGCCCAGGCUGCCGGCCCCCGCCAGGCCCGCCCCGAGGACCCAGGGCCCGCCUGAAACAGGGGACAGCAGGGAGGCCCUUGUUUCGGCCCGGCAACACCACGUGGGCUCAGGAGAACACACUUCACGGGCCACACUCAUCGGCAAGGCUCCUCCGAGGCAAACGAAGGCCCGUGGAGAGCGGGGAUCCUGAGGCCUUUCCCGGAACUCACCGGGAAUUCGAGGACUAGCUCAGUCCGGGACAGCGUCAAAGCUGCGUCUGUAAGUGCCUCACGGGCCUCUCAAAGACACCUCUCCACGUAUUCUCUAUUUUAACACCAACACCUCAGACCCUAUAUUUAUCCGGAUUAAAUGUCAGCUCCUUGGAUCCCAGGCUGUCGGGAUCUGCCUGGAUUCUAAUUUUGCCCGAGAACUUUGCCACCCAGCUCUGGGGCGCCCUUCCUCAGCCAGCCCAGGUUGCGGGUAUCUCCCCAGCCUGGAGGGCCCGGCAGGCCUCGGGCAGGAGGUGGCUCAAGAAAGCGCAGAACAGCCUGAGGGCAGCGGGGACACGCUCCCAGACGGGGUGACGGGGUCAGCAACUGCUGUCCUGCAGAGGCUAGCAAGCGACUCUGUCAAGUACACGCUGGGAUCUGUGUGGCCCUUUAAAAGAAAGAGCGUCAAACCGUGUUCAGUUACAAAAGCGAAGGCCAGGAGCGUAUUUUCACUGCGACACUUUCCAUCAGGUUUGGAAGAUUAUAAUGCUUACCCCGGGCUUUCCUGGUGGCUCAGUCAGAAAAGAAUCUGGCUGCGACGCAAGCGGCUCUACGGUUCUGCUCCUGGGUCGGGAAGAUCCCCUGGGGUGGAGACAGCAGCCGGUGUCCUUGCCCCGCUGGGCUGCCGUCAAGAGUGCGGUAUGGCCGUGACUGAAGCGCCGCCACCACCGCGAUGACCUCAGUAGCUUCCCGCGGGUGAGAGACCCCCGUGGCCGCACAGCGUGGUUUUCAUUCGCACCUUCUCCCUAGGGCGAUUCUUCCAGGCACAGGAGCUGCUUUACUUGAAGCUCCUUCCAGACACUUCUGCCCCGGCAACAGGACGCCAAGGAGCCUGGGGAACUUAGCUAGGAUUACGUAGGACAUGAUACCUCUAUCGACCAAUUAACUCAGAGGAGACGGACGCCGCUGCAGUUCUGAGCCUGACCGUGUGCUCUGCGGGGAUGCCUGGUUUCCCCAAGAGGCCCGACUCGGGUCCAUCUGCUGCUUGUCCACACCCGCCACACGCACACCGUCAGUGUAAGCGGCCGGCCGGGCUCCACCUCCAGCACGAGGACCAUCGGUCUGCCACCAGGUGAGAUUCAGCAGGUCACAGAAGACCUCACAAAAGGCUUCAGAGACACGUGGAGAGGCAGCUCUGGGACUCGGCAAGGCCGCUGCUGUGUGCAAAGUCAGUGGCAAUGUAAACCAAGCGUUUACAUUACCUGCUAGAAGGGGUUUUGCGUGGACAGGACGCUUGCUAGGGAAUAUGAACCAAGCGUUUACAUUACCUGCUAGAUAAACCUCUAGCAGAGGUUCACAGCUUUGUCUGGAAACCAACACUGCUGAGCACAGACUCUGAUCCCCACCGAGGUGGCCCCUUGCGGUGCUGAUGAGCCCCAACGGUCGGAGCGGCGCUGACCAAGCCCAGAGACGUGAGAACUCGCCACCGCCUGCAGCCAAAGUGGAGGGGACACGUCAUCACCGCGCAGGAGCCGUGUCUCGCGUGGCCUCUGCUCGCUGUGCCUGAGAAGCCGCGGUUCCCGCACGUGGAUACCUGUUUCCCCACUGGCCUCUAUAACAAAGUAUUGUUUUUCCUCUGAGGAACUUUAAAAACAGGAAAAGAUCAAUACUCUAACAAUCAGAUCAUUCGUAAAGCGUCUGGAAUUAUUUUUCAAUACGUGGCACAGAAACCAAGAUCUAGAGGAAAAUCAAUUUAAACAAACGGAACUGGGGUUUCUUGUCUCCCGCGUCCGCAUACCGCGCAUCUGGAGAACGCACGUCGCCUCUCCAGCGGGGUUCCGCCCGCGGAGGCUCAGGCGGACACAAGCGGGGGGCAAGGGCGGGCGGCGGGCGGCGCGCGCCGGGCGGACCCCGCACCCGGCCGCCGGGAGAGCGCCUGCCCCCCUUCCCCGAGGCGAGGGCCGGCUCCGGCCCGGCCGCGGGGUCCCGGGCUCGCGGAGCUGCGGCGACCUGCGCAGACCGCGGGGCUGGACAACUCCUCUUCCGACUAGCUGGACUGUUGCUGUGGGUUGGACCGCAUUUCCCAAGGCUGUUUUGGCAGUAAUGCCUGUGACGCCAAGGACUCUUCACCCAGAAUGUUACAAAAACCCUUCAGUAUCUGUACUAUCAGUUCAGUUCAGCUCAGUCGCUCAGUCGUGUCCGACUCUGCGACCCCAUGAACUGCAGAACCCAGGCCACCCUGUCCAUCACCAACCCCCGGAGUUCACUCAGACUCACGUCCAUCGAGCCGGUGAUGCCACCCACCCAUCUCCUCCUCUGUCGUCCCCUUCUCCUGCCCUCAGUCUUUCAGGCUAUUUUCCAACGAGUCAGCUCUUCGCAUCAGGUGGCCAAAGUACUGGAGUUUCAGCUUCAACAUCAGUCCUUCCAAUGAACACUCAGGACUGAUCUCCUUUAGGAUGGACUGGUUGGAUCUCCUUGCAGUCCAAGGGACUCUCAAGUGUCUUCUCCAACACCACAGUUCAAAAGCAUCAAUUUUUAGGUGCUCAGCUUUCUUUAUAGUCCAACUCUCACAUCCAUACAUGACUACUGGAAAAACCAUAGCCUUGACUAGACGGACCUUUGUUGGCAAAGUAAUGUCUCUGCUUUUCAAUAUGCUACCUAGGUUGGUCAUAACUUUCCUUCCAAGGAGUAAGCGUCUUUUAAUUUCAUGGCUGCAAUCACCAUCUGCAGUGAUUUUGGAGCCACCCCAAAAUAAAGUCUGACACUGUUUCCCCAUCUAUUUCCUAUGAAGUGAUGGGACCAGAUGCCAUGAUCUUCGUUUUCUGAAUGUUGAGCUUUAAGCCAACUUUUUCACUCUCCUCUUUCACUUUCAUCAAGAGGCUUUUUAGCUCCUCUUCACUUUCUGCUAUAAGGGUGGUGUCAUCUGCAUAUCUGAGGAUAUUGAUAUUUCUCCCGGCAAUCUGGAUUCCAGCUUGUUUCUUCCAGUCCAGCGUUUCUCAUGAUGUACUCUGCAUAUAAGUUAAAUAAGCAGGGUGACAAUAUACAGCCUUGACGUACUCCUUUUCCUAUUUGGAACCAGUCUGUUGUUCCAUGUCCAGUUCUAACUGUUGCUUCCUGACCUGCAUACAGAUUUUUCAGGAGGCAGAUCAGGUGGUCUGGUAUUCCCAUCACUUUCAGAAUUUUCCACAGUUUAUUGUGAUCCACACAGUCAAAGGCUUUGGUAUAGUCAAUGAAGCAGAAAUAGAUGCUUUUCUGGAACUCUCUUGCUUUUUCCAUGAUCCAACAGACGCUGGCAAUUUGAUCUCUGGUUCCUCUGCCUUUUCUAAAACCAGCUUGAACAUCUGGAAGUUCACAGUUCACGUAUUGCUGAAGCCUGGCUUGGAGAAUUUUGAGCAUUACUUUACUAGCAUGUGAGAUGAGUGCAAUUGUGCAGUAGUUUGAGCAUUCUUCGGCAUUGCCUUUCUUUGAGAUUGGAAUGAAAACUGACCUUUUCCAGUCCUGUGGUCACUGCUGAGUUUUCCAAAUUUGCUGGCAUAUUGAGUGCAGCACUUUCACAGCAUCAUCUUUCAGGAUUUGAAAUAGCUCCACUGGAAUUCCAUCACCUCCACUAGCUUUGUUCAUAGUGAUGCUUUCUAAGGCCCACUUGACUUCACAUUCCAGGAUGUCUGGCUCUAGAUGAGUGAUCACACCAUCGUGAUUAUCUUGGUCAUGAAGAUCUUUUUUGUACAGUUCUUCUGUGUAUUCUUGCCACCUCUUCUUAAUAUCUUCUGCUUCUGUUAGGUCCAGACCAUUUCUGUCCUUUAUCGAGCCCAUCGUUGCAUGAAAUGUUCCCUUGGUAUCUCUAAUUUUCUUGAAGAGAUCUCUAGUCUUUCCCAUUCUGUUGUUUCCCUCUAUUUCUUUGCAUUGAUCGCUGAGGAAGGCUUUCUUAUCUCUUCUUGCUGUUCUCUGGAACUCUGCAUUCAGAUGCUUGUAUCUUUCCUUUUCUCCUUUGCUUUUCGCUUCUCUUCUUUUCACAGCUAUUUGUAAGGCCUCCCCAGACAGCCAUUUUGCCUUUUUGCAUUUCUUUUCCGUGGAGAUGGUCUUGAUCCCUGUCUCCUGUACAAUGUCACGAACCUCAUUCCAUAGUUCAUCAGGCACUCUAUCUCUCAGAUCUAGGCCCUUAAAUCUAUUUCUCACUUCCACUGCAUAAUCAUAAGGGAUUUGAUUUAGGUCAUACCUGAAUGGUCUAGCGGUUUUCCUAUUUUCUUCAAUUUAAGUCUGAAUUUGGCAAUAAGGAGUUCAUGAUCUGAGCCAUAGUCAGCUCCUGGUCUUGUUCUUGCUGACUGUAUAGACCUUCUCCAUCUUUGGCUGCAAAGAAUAUAAUCAACCUGAUUUUGGUGUUGACCAUCUGAUGAUGUCCAUGUGUAGAGUCUUCUCUUGUGUUGUUGGAAGAGGGUGUUUGCUAUGACCAGUGCAUUUUCUUGGCAAAACUCUAUUCGUCUUUGCCCUGCUUCAUUCCGCAUCCCAAGGCCAAAUUUGCCUGUUACUCCAGGUGUUUCUUGACUUCCUGCUUUUGCAUUCCAAUCCCCUAGAAUGAAAAGGACAUCUUUUUGGAGGUAUUAGUUCUAAAAGGUCUUGUAGGUCUUUAUAAAACCGUUCAACUUCAGCUUCUUCAGCGUUACUGGUUGGGGCAUAGACUUGGAUAACUGUGAUAUUGAAUGGUUUGCCUUGGAGACAAACAGAGAUCAUUCUGUCAUUUGUGAGAUUGCAUCCAAGUACUGCAUUUUGAACUUUUUUGUUGACCGUGAUGGCUACUCCAUUUCUUCUGAGGGAUUCCUGCCUGCAGUAGUAGAUAUAAUGGUCAUCUGAGUUAAAUUCACCCGUUCCAGUCCAUUUUAGUUUGCUGAUUCCUAGAAUGUCGACCUUCACUCUUGCCAUCUCUUGUCUGACCACUUCCAAUUUGCCUUGAUUCAUGGACCUGACAUUCCAGGUUCCUCUGCAAUAUUGCUCUUUACAGCAUCCGACCUUGCUUCUAUCACCAGUCCCAUCCACAGCUGGGUGUUGGUUUUGCUUUGGCUCCGUCUCUUCGUUCUUUCUGGAGUCAUUUCUCCACUGACCUCCAGCAGCAUGUUGGGCGCCUAGUGACCCGGGGAGUUCCUCUCUGUGUCCUGUCUUCGCCUUUUAAUCUCUUUCCAGGAGGAGCAUCGACCUGCGAAGACCGCGGGGUGGACUACAGCAGCAUCCUCUUCGGACCAUGUGGACUCCUGCUGGGGGUGGUGCCGCGUUUCCCGAAGCUGUCUUGGCAGCCGUGCCUGUGGCCGCAAACACCGUCCCCCUGCGCGGUGUCAGGCCCCUCCAGUGCUCGCGCUGUGUCCUCCCGUACAGCGGCGCCUCCCUGCCCCACCCCCACCAUCCCGGGGUUUCUGGAGGUCGAAACUACAAAUUCACACCCUGAAAGAAAAAGAGUUCAGGAAAAUUUUAGUUAGGCAAAAUGACAGGAUAUUAAGUUAGGACCUUGCCCAGAUGCGUGAAGGAGCUAAAUGUCUGAGUUGAAAAGGAUUCUAAUGUUCUUACUGCUGGUAACUUGCCAAGUAAUCCUGGAAAAAAAAUCUUUCUAUCUUAUCAAGAUACACAUAAAUACAUGUAUAUGCCUAUGUGGGCUUCUACACAGCUCAGGAAGAGCAACCACCAGAGAGAAAAGCGGGCAGAAGCGUUUGAGCACAUAACGCACAGAAGAGGAGUGCGACUGCCUGUCAAACAUGGGACACGCAAGCCGGCUCCACUUACGGGCCAGAGACGGAUCCCAGCUGCUCUCCAGUUAUCCUCGCAGACCCUCCUCCUACAAACAAAGCCCCCAAGGACGGUGCGCAGCUCACGGGUACGCGAAGGCUGGAUGUGCAGUGGACUGAAUGGCCAGCCCUCCGUCCUCCUCCCCUGCGGCGGCGCGUUCGUCCACCCUCGCCGUGCCUUUGUGAUGAGCUGGGCUGUCCCUUCACCCCUGGGGUCCAGGCAUGGCUCCAUGGCUUGAGAUGGCGGAUGUUAGCAGGAUGACCCCAGCAGAGGCCUGAAUGUCCUGCACGCCUUCCACCGUGGCACCUCCGCUGUGUUCCCAGUAGCCGCUGCCACGCUAGCCCAGAGCUCAGACCGGAACAUGUGAGGCCUGGGAGCCAUGGAUGGAGCCAAGUCCAUCCAAACCCCUACCGACCCACAAGCCUGUGAGUGAGGGGAAAAAGCAGCUUGGUCUUAAGCACAGAUGAUGCGGCUGUGCCGUAGGCAGCGUUCGUGGCCCUUCAGCCGCAAGGUCACGUCUGACUCUGUGACCCCAUGAACCGCGGCACGCCAGGGUUCCCUGUCCUUCACUACCUCCUGGAGUUUGUUCAAACUCAUGUCUACUGAGUCUUCCUACAUAUAUAUCCCUAUGUGAGAAAUGCAAACAGGUCCACACAACAGCUCGUGCACAGAUGUUUAAAGCAGCACUGUGCAUAAUCACCAGAGGUCGGAAGCAACCCACGCGUAUGGCUGGCUGGCUGA